UUUUACUUUUUAGGAUCUUUUGCAAAUAUAUGUUUAAUAAAUUGUACUACAGUACACCUUCUAUAAUUUUAUAUUUUAUUUUGUUGUUAAAUCUGUUUCAAAUAGCGCAAGUAAUACCUCUUAAACUCAUUUUUGUUGUGUUACCUUCCACCUGCAGUUUGCCCAGUUGUGAAUAGUUUUAAGGUUAACCAGUUUCAAACUAUCAUUUUCUUGUAGUGUCUCCUUGUUUGUCAUCGAAAGUGUUUGGAAAAUUUAGUCAUUAUUUGUGGUCAUCAGAAACUUCCAGGAAAAAUACACUUAUUUGGAGCAGAAUUCACACAAGUUGCAAAAAAGGAACCAGAUGGUAUCCCUUUUAUACUCAAAAUAUGUGCCUCAGAGAUUGAAAAUAGAGCUUUGUGUCUACAGGGAAUUUAUCGUGUGUGUGGAAACAAAAUAAAAACUGAAAAAUUGUGUCAAGCUUUGGAAAAUGGAAUGCACUUGGUAGAUAUUUCAGAAUUUAGUUCACAUGAUAUCUGUGACGUCUUGAAAUUAUACCUUCGGCAGGUAAAAAUUUUUACCCUUGAAACCCACCAUUAAAUUAAAAACAGCAAAAAUAUGAUUUGUAUUUUGCUGAUAACAUUUGCUACACAUGUUUUUUCAUUGGCAUAGACGGUAUAGGUAUCUUGCUAAUGAUUAGUGCAUAGGUCAGAGUAUAUGAAAUACAUGUACAAUUUAAAGAAAAAUAAAAACAAACUCAUCUCCCAUCACCCACCUUAAGAAAAUAGAAUAUUACCGUACCUUAUAAAAAACCCCCAUGUUCCUCUUCCAAGUUACAUCCCCCUAACUCCACCAAGGAGGUCUUUAAUAAUCAUAACUCUCUCUCUUCUCUUAAUAGUUUUAAUACUUGCUAUUUAUUCCUAAACAAUGUAUUGUUAAGCUUUGGAAAAUUGACUUGAAAGCAUAAAUCUAGCUGUGUAAGGAAAUCCCAGUAUCCACACAGUUAUAUGAAGUAAGUAAAACAGUGUCUGGAUCAUAGGCUGGCUUUGCCUUCGUUGAUAUUUUAAAAUAGCCAUUGUGAUAGGUUAGUGGCCAAGAUGAUGAAUGAGUCCUGGGAACAUGUAAUGUACUACAUUUGGAGCACCUGGAAGGACUGUCCUAUAAGCUGGGUACUGCACAUUCUAGCAGGAAUAUGGUCAGGGAGUAGACUGCUCUUUUUUUUUUCUCACUGUUAAACCUGUAGUUUGCAGGAGUAGGUCCAAAGACCUACUCAGUGGGAUGAAAUAAAUGGCUCUAGUAGCAUCAAGCAGCAGCUUAUGGAGGGAUUGCAAGAACUUAAUCAGCACAUUGUCAUGAGACACGUACAAAAAAAGACCUGAGCCAAGCUUAGCUGCUAUUCUGUCCUCGGGUGAAAAUGAAGAGAUAAUGUCAGAGAGAAUAGUGAUGAUAGUCCUCAACAUAUCAAUCUCUGCAGUUCUGUUGCUUCCAGCAGGAUCCUUUUU
rnacentral:lncRNA from 10 species